GUCCUCUUGUUUAUAUAUGAGGUCUGACCUGCCCGGUGAAAAUUAUUUUAACGGCCGCAGUAUCUUGACUGUGCAAAGGUAGCAUAAUCAUUAGUCUUUUAAUAGGGGGCUGGUAUGAAGGGUUUGACGAGGUGUUAACUGUCUCAUUUAGUUUGUAAUUAGAAUUUAAUUUUUCAGUUAAAAAGCUGAAAUGGUAUUGGAAGACGAGAAGACCCUAUAGAGCUUUAUAAUUAUUAUUUUAAUUAUUUUUUGUUUUAUCAUUUAUUAUUAUUAUAUUAAUUAUUUUGUUGGGGUGACAAAAAUAUAUAUUUAACUUUUUUAUUAAAAUUAACAUUGAUUUAUGAAUAUAAGAUCUAUUAUUAUUGAUUGUUAGAUUAAGUUACC
rnacentral:rRNA from 1 species